UACGGAGGGGGCUAGCGUUAUUCGGAAUUACUGGGCGUAAGGCGCACGUAGGCGGAUUUUCAAGUCAGAGGUGAAAGCCCGGGGCUCAACCCCGGAACGGCAUUUGAAACUGGUAGACUUGAGGUCGGGAGAGGAGAGUGGAAUUCCGAGUGUAGAGGUGAAAUUCGCAGAUAUACGGAGGAACACCAGUGGCGAAGGCGGCUCACUGGCCCGAUACUGACGCUGAGGUGCGAAAGCGUGGGGAGCAAACAGG
rnacentral:rRNA from 1 species